rnacentral:rRNA from 1 species
AGUGAACGCUGGCGGCAGGCCUAACACAUGCAAGUCGAACGGCAGCACAAGAGAGCCUGCUCUCUGGGUGGCGAGUGGCGGACGGGUGAGGAAUGCAUCGGAAUCUGCCCAUUUGUGGGGGAUAACCUCGGGAAACCGGGACUAAUACCGCAUACGACCUACGGGUGAAAGCAGGGGAUCUUCGGACCUUGCGCAGAUGGAUGAGCCGAUGCCGGAUUAGCCAGUUGGAGGGGUAAAGGCCCACCAAGGCGACGAUCCGUAGCUGGUCUGAGAGGAUGAUCAGCCACACUGGGACUGAGACACGGCCCAGACUCCUACGGGAGGCAGCAGUGGGGAAUAUUGGACAAUGGGCGCAAGCCUGAUCCAGCCAUGCCGCGUGUGUGAAGAAGGCCUUCGGGUUGUAAAGCACUUUUGUUGGGAAAGAAAAGCAGCCGGUUAAUACCCGGUUGUCAUGACGGUACCCAAAGAAUAAGCACCGGCUAACUUCGUG